UACGAAGGGGACUAGCGUUGUUCGGAAUUACUGGGCGUAAAGCGCACGUAGGCGGAUUUGUAAGUCAGGGGUGAAAUCCCGGGGCUCAACCUCGGAACUGCCUUUGAUACUGCAAAUCUCGAGUCAGAUAGAGGUGGGUGGAAUUCCUAGUGUAGAGGUGAAAUUCGUAGAUAUUAGGAAGAACACCGGUGGCGAAGGCGGCCCACUGGAUCGGUACUGACGCUGAGGUGCGAAAGCGUGGGGAGCAAACAGG
rnacentral:rRNA from 1 species